AGAAAAACAAUGUUAGUCUUUGGUGGCCAGGGAAAAGGAGGAAAACUCGUGGUGGUCUCCAGAUGAUCUGGCCCUGACUGAAGCAAUCUCCUUCCACAAGGAGGGAGCAAAGGGCUGGCAAGUGCAGGCUGUUGGAGAGGACUGCUGGCUUUUUUCCAGGGUACCUGACUGUCUUAUUGCAUACUGGUAUCAUCCAGGGCAUCCAACAUGAAGAUCUCUGGUGUUAAUGAUAAAGAAAAUGAUUUCCCUGUGCCUGGGGUUGGAGUGAGCACAAGUGGCAUCACUGUUCUGUCAGACUUGCCACAGAACCUAUUGGGCAACAUUUAAAGGCAAAUUAUGUGAGUGUCCCUCAGCUCUAGCUGAAUUAUACAUUACCUUUGAGCAGAAAUGAAAGGCUGUGGACACCACAGGGAGCUCUGCUUUCCAGGAGGCUCCUGGGAUUAGUGCCUACACCACUCAAAGCCAGGACUUUGCUUCAAAUCUCAUCAAAUCUCAUUUUUGGGAUAAAAAGAGGGCUGCUCCAAGGCCAUGGAUCAAGGACUGAGCAACUCCAGGUCACAGUUUUGAAUGUUCCUGCUCAGGAUAUGCUAAAGAUUCCAGUUGUCCCUGGACCCACUAAGAAUGUGAGAGGGAAACACAGUGAUGAGGGGCCAUAAACCUAAGGGCCAGGACAUAAAGCACAGGAUAUGCAAAGAUUGUUGUGGAAAAGAUUCCAGAAUAUCACCAAAAAGAGGACUGGGCAAUUUCAAGUUUUUGAUGAACCAUCAUUCCAGG